GACGAACGCUGGCGGCGUGCCUAAUACAUGCCAGUAGGACGCAGUUGCGAACGGGUGAGUAACGCGUAGGGAACUGCCUAUUAGAGGGGGAUAACUAUUGGAAACGAUAGCUAAUACCGCAUACUAGUAGAUGGACCUGCGUUGUAUUAGCUCGUAGGGAGGGUAAUGGCCUAACUAGGCAACGAUCCCUAGCCGACCUGAGAGGGUGAUCGGCCACACUGGGACUGAGACACGGCCCAGACUCCUACGGGAGGCAGCAGUAGGUAAUCUUCGGCAAUGGGGGGAAGCCUGACCGAGCAACGCCGCGUGAGUGAAGAAGGUUUUCGGAUCGUAAAGCUCGGUUGUUAAGGAAGCGGUACUUAACCAGAAAGGGACGGCUAACUACGUGCCAGCAGCCGCGGUAAUUC
rnacentral:rRNA from 1 species